GACGAACGCUGGCGGCGUGCCUAAUACAUGCAAGUUGAGCGAUGAAGCUUGGUGCUUGCCCCAAUUUGAAGAGCAGCGAACGGGUGAGUAACGCGUGGGGAAUCUGCCUUUGAGCGGGGGACAACAUUUGGAAACGAAUGCUAAUACCGCAUAACAACUUUAAACAUAAGUUUUAAGUUUGAAAGAUGCAAUUGCAUCACUCAAAGAUGAUCCCGCGUUGUAUUAGCUAGUUGGUGAGGUAAAGGCUCACCAAGGCGAUGAUACAUAGCCGACCUGAGAGGGUGAUCGGCCACAUUGGGACUGAGACACGGCCCAAACUCCUACGGGAGGCAGCAGUAGGGAAUCUUCGGCAAUGGACGAAAGUCUGACCGAGCAACGCCGCGUGAGUGAAGAAGGUUUUCGGAUCGUAAAACUCUGUUGGUAGAGAAGAACGUUGGUGAGAGUGGAAAGCUCAUCAAGUGACGGUAACUACCCAGAAAGGGACGGCUAACUACG
rnacentral:rRNA from 1 species